UAGUGAGUUUGAUCCUGGCUCAGGAUGAACGCUAGCGGCAGGCCUAAUACAUGCAAGUCGAACGGGUGGUAGCAAUACCACUAGUGGCGCACGGGUGCGUAACGCGUAACCAACCUGCCCUUGACUGGGGGAUAGCCCGCCGAAAGGCGGAUUAAUACCGCAUAAACUCACAGUAUGGCAUCAUACAAUGAGUAAAGAUUUAUUGGUCAAGGAUGGGGGUUGCGUGACAUUAGCUAGUUGGCGGGGUAACGGCCC
rnacentral:rRNA from 1 species